ACAGUUAGUGUCAAAUGGGAGAAUGCGGGACACAUGACGCGGGACUCUAGUUUCGUAGACGCCACGUGCGGAAAUGCCGGCGUAUCCUGAUUUUCGUGCAGGCGCAAGGCCCGCCUUGCGACUGUUUGGGAAUAUUUAAUGAGGGUGCAGCUUCCGUUAUCGGUUGCUAUACCGGCAAAGAGCAACGACAAUCCUCUGGUCACGCACGAAUCACUUCUAGCGCGACCUCACAGAGAUGUCUCCAUGCCGGAUGGAGGUGCCCCACAACGGCGCAAACCUCCCUUUUUAAAUACACUGGCUUGUGUGCCUGCGAAAUUCCCAGCCAGCACCUGGUCUAGCAAACCUCUGCGCGGAUUUAAAAAUGCGAGUCAUGCUGGAAUCGCGCCGGUCGUGAAAAUAGAGCCUGGAAUGUUAUUCACAAACGAAAAAGUUAUGAAAUGAAAUCAGAUGGACAGACUGAGAUGUACAGUAAUGAAGCAUUUUGGUUACCUCUUCAUCUGUGGAAGCGAGGCAAAAUAUGAAUUCAUCUUUCAGUAUGACGACAAUACAAUCCAGCGAGUACAAACGCAACAACAACCUGAUUGCUGUUUUUGAUCUUAUUUGAAGUGCAGCUAAUUUCUGACACCACAUGCUCAAGUUCCUAAGACGUGUGAAGCAGCGCGGCCUCUCGGCGGGGACACUCGGUGACAUCUCCGCUGUCUUACAAAGACACAGCGUCACCCCGCCGUGCUCACAGUUCGUCCUGUUGAUCUUUGCAGUGGCAACAUCAAGAAAUAAGGGGAAUGACAAAAUGUCCUACACUGUGAGCGGGCCUUGAAUGCACCUGGAGUCAGCAGAGCGCAGUUUGGUUGGCGUGGCGAGUCUGCAUAGUUACAGAUUGCCUGCAUUCUCCCACGUUUGUUGUCGUGCGCAAAGGCCAAGGGGUGAGUUGAAUCAUUUAUAAUGUUCGUGUCAAGUGAUGGCCGUGCACAUGACCGCACCGUAUGCUCGUGAGUGAUGUCGCGUCUAUCAACGCUCGUUAGCAUAUUCGGGUAAUAUGCUAACGAACGCGAUGAAACGUGCGAAUGUAAAUUGUUUGUAUUGUGCAAUUGUUUGAUUACUUCAUGUAGUGGAAUGCAAGGUCUGCACUAGUGUGAACUAAUGCAUGUAUAAUAGAUGAUGUGUGCUAUAUUAUUCUUUAUCUGUGUUGACCACAAUAAAUCAAC